AACGGGGAUAAAGGCUGGGUUUUAAGGGAAGGGAGGCUCCCGGAAAGACGUGCUUUGGCUGAAGAGGCCGCCCACUGGCUGCUGUCGCGGUUCAGGACUCCUCGGUCUGACCGAAAGCGGAGGAAGGGCCGAACCCGGCCCUCGGACCCUCUUAAGGGAAGCCGGCCGCCUCCACCUUCAGACCUGGGGAGAGGAGAGGGCGCUGCCUCUGCUCUGUGACUUUGAAAAAGGUGUCAAGGCUCGGUGUAGACCUCAGCUCCCCCAAGCCCGCCCGCCCUGCACCUCAAGAUGCUCUAUCCCCAGGACAGACACACAGACGCUCAGCGAGGAUCAAAGAUCUUUAAAUAAGGAGCCAGUGACAAUAAAUACUGUACAGGGGAAAGGUGAGGGUCCAUAUC